rnacentral:rRNA from 1 species
AACGAAACGCUGGGCGGCGGGUACUAAGGCAUGCAAGUCGAAACGCCAAAGGAGAAGAAGCUUGCUUCUCUCCCUAGAGUGGCGGACUGGGUGAGGAAACACGUGGGGUAAUCUGCCCUUAAGAUGGGGGAUAGGCUGCUAGAAAAUAAGCAGGUAAUACCGAAAUACAACUCGGCGCUUCAUAAAGAGGGUGUUGAGGAAAAGGAAAGCUAUGGCUUCGCUUGAGGAUGAGCUUGCGUCCCAUUAGCUAGUUGGUGAGGUAAAGGCUCACCAAGGCGACGAUGGGUAUCCGGCCUGAGAGGGUGAUCGGACACAUUGGGACUGAGAUACGGCCCAAACUCCUACGGGAGGCAGCAGCUAAGAAUAUUCCGCAAUGGACGGAAGUCUGACGGAGCGACGCCGCGUGGAUGAAGAAGGCUGAAAAGUUGUAAAAUCCUUUUGUUGAUGAAGAAUAAGGGUGAGAGGGAAUGCUCAUCUGAUGACGGUAAUCGACGAAUAAGCCCCGGCUAAUUACGUGCCAGCAGCCGCGGUAACACGUAAGGGGCGAGCGUUGUUCGGAAUUAUUGGGCGUAAAGGGCAUGUAGGCGGUUGUGUAAGCCUGGUGUGAAAUCCUGGGGCUUAACCCCAGAAUAGCAUUGGGUACUGCACGACUUGAAUUACGGAAGGGAAACUGGAAUUCCAAGUGUAGGGGUGGAAUCUGUAGAUAUUUGGAAGAACACCGGUGGCGAAGGCGGGUUUCUGGCCGAUAAUUGACGCUGAGAUGCGAAAGUGUGGGGAUCGAACAGG